rnacentral:rRNA from 1 species
UUGACUAUUACAAAGGUAUUGUAAUAAGAUUUUAAUUGAAUGCUAAAAGAAUGGAAAUUUAAAAAAAAACUUUUUUAAAAAUAAAAAUUGAAUUUUUUUUAAUUUGUGCAAAAACAAUUAUUAUUAUUAAAGACAAGAAGACCCUAAGAAUUUAUGAUUUUGUAAUUAAAAGUUUUUUUUUAAAAAUCUUGAUUGGGGCGAUCAAAAAAUAUUAAUAACUUUUUAAAUUUAAAUUGAUCUAUUAUUAAUAAACUAAUGAAUUAAAUACUCUAGGGAUAACAGCGUAAUAAUUUUUGAUAGAUCUUAUUGACAAAAUAGUUUGCGACCUCGAUGUUGGAUUAGGAUUCUUUUUUAAUGAAGAAGUUAAAAAAAGAAGUUUGUUCAA